UCCUAGUUAGCUCAAAUGGUAGAGCGCUCCACUGGAAAUGCAGCUCCACUGGAAAUGGAGAGGUCAUGGUUCGAUACCAAGACCAGGCG
rnacentral:tRNA from 1 species